GCCAAGAAUAAAACCCGAGAGAAAAUGUUUUUGACUCAAACUGAAAAGAACUAACAUUAUUAAGAUGAUUAAUGAUUAAAAGAGAGUACUAUCUUUCAUCUCCACCCAUAUAUAUUUUUUCAUUCAACUGUUCUCAACAAUUUCCCUCUUUCUCUCUCUGAAAAUCGAACAAACCCUAACAAUCCUCUAUCUCACACGCCUUCCUCAUCUCCUCUCCCUCAUGUGAAAUAAACAUUCAUCAUGUUCCAUUUUCAAUCCCGACGAUGGAGCAAAUGCAAACUUUUUUCGGUGUUAAUGUCGAACUCAGCAUCGGUGCUCUAAUUACAACAAUGUUCGCUAUAAUCUACGUCUGCAGUGUUUUAUUUGUUUUAGAGGUGUUGAAGCCGAGGGUUGAACCCGAAAAAGUUAUGGGUUGUCAUAUGGAUGUAGUUACCGCUAAUCUUAAUUCCUAGUAACUGGAAAAGUCGCUGCCACUGAGCUCCAUUGCUGCUAUUCCACCCUGAAGCCUUAGAUGAUGGACACAGCGAUAUAGGCAACGACUGACUCACCUUCUCAUCCUGACAAGAGGGGUGGACUGACUUUCUGAAUUUUAUUAUGGGUAUUGUGACCCUUGUUGAUCCUUCCAUAUCUUUCUCUUCAUCUUUCGUGACAACUUUUUUUUGUUAGAAGUUUUCCUUCCUUUCAUCUUUCUCAUUAAAAUUUAAAAGAAUUGUGGAGAUGCACCUUGUGGGCCGAGUCAGGUUUUGCUAUCUUCUGAGCUAUUGAAGACAACAUGUAGUUUUUAUUUGCUCUGAUAUCAUUUAUGAAAUUUCUGAUUCUGGUGGAAUUUUAGCUUUAAGUUGAUGUGUAACUUUUAUAGCAAAGUCGAUAAAAAAAUUUCAUACUUUUACUGUAAGAUCUCCUCUAAAUUGUUAGGGUGGUUUAGUGAGUACAUUAGUCCUUCAGUAUCUCAGUUCUGCACAUCCUUGCUUUUUUUAGUCUUGGCUUUAAGUUGAUGUUCUUCAGCAUUGAUUCUUGUUUCUAUUUGUUCACAACGAAAUUGAGUUAUGUAUGUUGAAAUUUGGUGUGUAAAACAACCAAUAUUUAGCAUGUCAGUAUAGAGGUUCAAAUGUUUAGAAAGUUAAUUGUUCAAGGACAGAUAGGUGUAACAAAUGUGUUAUAUCAAGCAUGAUCCUUAAUUUGUUGGGAAUCUGAAGCAAUAGAAGAAUAUCUAUAAUUAUAUUAUUGCUGACUUUUUAUAUCUCUUUUAAACUCACUUAGUUUGCUUUUAAAUCUCCCUCCUUAGUCGAGGAAUGAACUGGGUGUUUUGUUUACUCAAUUUUGUCUCGAGGGUAUGAGUAAGCUAUGGUAUAAGGGUUAACAUGAUUGGCUGGCUCUUCUAAAGCCUGCUUCUGGCUACAUUGUGUUAUUUGCUUUCUCCUAUUAGCCUUUUUUUAGCCUUCGCUACUGUCUUUCCUAAACAAUCAUAUGUUGUUGCGGUUCUUAUCUUAUCAACCUAGUAUGUAAUUUUCUCGUCGUAUACAGUUGAGGAGCUCAAGAAUUGGAAAAUGAUCAUUAUGGUCCAACUGUAGACUCACUGCUAGCUGAGAAAAAUUUCAGGCCUAGAUGGGUAGAUAAAUUGUUUUGUUGUAGCAUAUUUUGCAGCUUGUGUGUUUAUCUUUUUAAUGUUUUAUAGUUUAUAGUACUCUGGUGGAGUUACAACUAAAUUUUCUCAAAAUAAGCUUGAUGAGCUCAGAGACUUGUGGAUCAAAUAUGUGGAUGAAUGUAAACAAGUGGAUGAAGAAGAAUCGUAAGAUAAUGAGCAUUUUAAUUAGGAUCUGUGUAUUUUCUUUUUGAGCGGGAUUAGGGAGGUGCUUCUAUUUUGGUGCACAUGAAUUGGAAGAAAUAAGCCUAGGUGCUCUUUUUUUUUUUUUUUUUUAUAACUUAGUUGAAUUUUUGGAAUGUUUCUAAUAUUAUAUUGAUAUGCAUGUGAUUUUGUAGUGAAUGAUAUUGAAUGAAUGAGAAAGUAUUCCAAUUUUAAAGUCAUCUGAAUUAUCUCAAUACAAGUGUCUAGAUGUUCUAUAUAUAUGUAGAUUACUUGUAGAUUAUGAAAGACACGAAUGAAGCAGGUGAAACGGAUUGGAGGAGCGUAUAAUAAUAUUGAAAUAUUUGUCGUUUCUUUUUUCUUUUUAAAUAAGGUUAAAGAGACCACCUUUUCCUUUCAGGUGGUGUUUUUAGGAAUGAUUAAAAGGACCACCUACAUAUUAAAAAUGAUUUCUUUGUAAGAUAAAAAAGACCACCUAUCUGUAAAAUAUGGCACCUUAUCUUUUUUUUCCCUAUUUAAAUUCAUAAAUAACCACUUAUAUUAAGGAAUUCCUCUCUUUUAUCAAAUUAAAAAACCACCCGCAAUAAGUGGUUAUUUAUCCUGACAGACCUAUGAGCUGAAGACAACCUCUCAUGUGGUCUCUAAAUUAGAUUUUAGGGGUCUCCUUAGGCUUUUUGUAGUAGUGACACUGCAGUUGCUCCAACUACACCACCUACUGACUUUGGUUCUAAGGGAAAGGAACAGGUUCCUACGGAUGAUUUUGGUUGGGUAAAUGAAGUGUGUCUCCCUGCUCAAAAUAUGAUCAAAUUCUACAAUCACCUUCACCGGACUUUGGAUGAUAAAACGGAUAAGAUGAUGGGUUUAAUGAAAGUCCUUAGUGAUACAGUAAUAGAACAAGAAAAGAAUAUGGAGAUGAUGGCCCAAGAAAUCAACACUUUGAAGAAGCAACUUGGUGGGAAUCAUGAGGAGGUUAUGAAGAAGUUAUAGGUGGUACUUUGAAGAUGAAGUAAUAGAGGAACACAACUUCCUUUACCUUCCUAAAGUCUAGUUCAUGUUUCUUAUAAAGGAACUUGAACUCUUAGCUUUUGUUUCUUUUAUUUUCUUCAUUUUUACCCUUUGACUUCUGGAACAAGUGCUAUAUAUAUAAAAAAAAUGACUUUUGCUA